rnacentral:rRNA from 1 species
AUGGAGGAAGCGGGAUUCCUGCAGAGGCAUCCAUGGCUCGUGUAUGUCUUUAUGCUGCUCGCCGGAUCGGCCGGGGCCAGCCAAUUCUGCAUGCUUUUCCUUACCCAUACUAGCGCGCCGCUCUUCUCCGUGGCCGUCUCCGGCUUCGAGGGCCUCGACGCCCGGAGCGGCGACGCCAGCGCGCCGCCCACCUUCCAUGUCAUCCUCCGCGUCGAGAACAACGACCUCCUCCCGCGGCACUGCUUCAAGGAGGGGAGCGCCGUGGUGGAACUGGACGGCGUGCCGCUCGCGCACGCCGACCGCCUCGGCGAGUUCUGCGUCCCGGGACGGACCGCCGUGGACGUGCCGUUCGUGGCCACUGGCGGCGGGCUGGGGCUGCCAGACGCGGUGUACGAGCGCGUGCGCGGCGUGCCGUCGUUGGUGGUGCGGGUGAGGCUGGACGGGAACGCCGUGAAGACCACCUCGGAUCUCGGCCGCUUGACUCCCAUGCUGGUCAGGUGCACGGUGACGCUGGAUGGCCUGCCAUCGGCUGACUGCCGGCGGUUUCUCAUGUUGGAACGAGAAUACGACCUCAAGAUCCUUUUUGGGCAAUUUCGACAGAAGCUCGGCCCUUUCUUCAUAAGAAAUGAACUUAGCUAUGAUGAGAUUUCCCAUAUUUCACUUUCCAAGGCUCAGAACAUGCAGCAAGAGCGUUUUGGCUGCCAGAACCGGCCCUUCCGCGCUGCCGCGCGUGCAUGUGGUGCAACUUCAUCCAUGCUGCAGGGUGCAGGCGUUGGUAUCCCAUGUGGGCUCGUGGCCCUCGCGCUCGCGGAGAAGAUAAGCAAAUGA